UUAUACAGUCUGUGGUCGAGGUGGGCGGAGGCCAAAUUUUUUUAUUGAAAUUGAAAAAGUUACAGACGCGGGAAAGGAGAACAAAGGAACAGAGCAAGCGCAGCAUUGUUUUUUUAAGCUGUGAAGUAUCACAGUACACAUGAAGAUUUAUUGCAAAAAUAAGGUUCAAAUUAGCUAUUCAGAUGUAUUUUCUUGUUUAUAAGCUAAAAUAAAUAAAGUAUAUUUUUUAUCAUGAUGUCAUCAUGUAAUAAUUGAUAUAUUAUUGGUGUGUGCGUGUGAGUAAGAGAGAGAGAGGGAGGGGUGUGAGAGAUGUGUCGAAAGCCAGUAGAGGCUUUUAUGGUAGAAAAUAUUGGUUAUAUAGAUACACCUCCUUAUGUAUAAAAACAGUAGUGUUGAAACUCAAUUUUGCUCUUGUGUUUCUGUCUGAGAACAGAGACAACAGAGAGAGAGAAAGAGAGAGAAGAAGAGAGAGAGAAAGAGAAGACGAGUGAGUGAGAGAGAGAGAGAGAAGAGACGAGAGAGAAGAAGUGAGAGAAGACAAGAGAGAGAAAGAGAGAAGUGAGAGAAAGAGAGAGAGGAAGUGAGAGAAAGAGAGAGAAGAAAAGAGAGAAGACGAGAGAGAAGAAGUGAGAGAAAGAGAGAGAAGACAAGAGAGAAGAAGAGAGAGAAGACAAGAGAGAGAAAGAGAGAAGAAGUGAGAGAAAGAGAGAGAGGAAGUGAGAGAAAGAGAGAGAAGAAAAGAGAGAAGACGAGAGAGAAGAAGUGAGAGAGAGAGAGAGGAAGUGAGAGAAGAAAAGAGAGAAGACGAGAGAGAAGAAGUGAGAGAAAGAGAGAGAAGACAAGAGAGAAGAAGAGAGAGAAGAAGAGAGAGAGAGAGAAGAAGUGAGAGAGAGGGGAAGUGAGAGAAAGAGAGAGAAGAAAAGAGAAGACGAGAGAGAAGAAGUGAGAGAAAGAGAGAAGACAAGAGAGAGAAAGAGAGAGAAGAAGUGAGAGAGAGAGAGAAGUGAGAGAGAGAGAGGAAGUGAGAGAGAGAUAAGAAGAGAGAGAAGACAAGAGAGAGAAAGAGAGAAGAAGUGAGAGAAAGAGAGAGAGGAAGUGAGAGAAAGAGAGAGAGGAAAAGAGAGAAGACGAGAGAGAAGAAGUGAGAGAAAGAGAGAGAAGACAAGAGAGAAGAAGAGAGAUAAGACGAGAGAGAAGACAAGAGAGAGAAGAAGAGAGAGAGAGAGAGAGAGAGAGAAGUGAGAGAGAGAGAAGAGACAAGAGAGAAAGAGAAGACGAGUGAGAGAAAGAGAGAGAAGACAAGAGAGAGAAGAAGUGAGAGAGAGAGAAGAGACGAGAGAAAGAGAAGACGAGUGAGAGAAAGAGAGAGAAGACAAGAGAGAGAAGAAGUGAGAGAGAGAGAAGAGACAAGAGAGAAAGAGAAGACGAGUGAGAGAAAGAGAGAAGAGACAAGAGAGAAAGAGAGAGAAGAAGUGAGAGAGAGAGAGAAGAAGUGAGAGAGAGAGAGAAGAAGUGAGAGAGAGAGGGGAAGUGAGAGAAAGAGAGAGAAGACAAGAGAGAGAAAGAGAGAGAGAAUACGAGAGAGAGAGAGACAUAAGGUAGGCAAGGGGUGUGGGUGUGUGAGAGAGAGAUUUGCUUUUAUUCCUUUACAGGUGCAUCAAGAUGGUUAAAAACAAUGCUUUGGUUUAAGGUAAGUAUAUUUGUGAGUUAGCAUGUGAUAAAUUCAUUUGUGCUUGUUGAUGCAACAUGAAAUGAAAUACCUAUAAAAAUGUUACUGUAAUUUCUGAAAUAAUAUGCCUCUUUUAGAUGCCUAACAUCAGACAGCUGCCCCAGAGGGAGAGGAAGACGAGGAAGUGGACCCCGGAGGCCAUGGGAGAGGCCAUCCAGGAGGUGAAAGCAGGCAGGCUGAGUCUGGGGCAGGCAGCCAAACAGUUUGGGGUCCCAAAAACGAGUCUGACUGUGUGCACAGUCAGAGGCCACUUCUCACCCCUGCAGAUGAAGAUUCCCUGGUGGAGUACUGCAUUUACUCUGCCAGUCAUGGUUUUCCACUGAUAAAGCCUCAGGUUCAGUCUUUUGCGACAGCAAUUUAUAAUCAGCGCUGUCCAGAAGAGAGAAGGGGGAAGUUGGGCCAGACGGGGUGGCUCAACUUCCGCAGGAGGCAAGGCCAGCGCUUCACUUCUCGGACCCCAGACAAUAUUGACCGUGGGAGGGCAUCCUGUGCCAAGAGGGGGCCGAUUGAAGAUUACUUCAGGCUCCUCACUACCACCAUGGAGGAGCACGGGUUGAGGGAGAAACCCCGUCAAGUCUAUAACUGCGAUGAGACGGGGUUUCAGCUGGACUCGUCGAGAAGAAAGGUCCUCGUGCCCCGGGGGACAAAACAUGCUUACAGGCAGGCCCAGGGGACCAGGGACCACGUCACCGUCCUGGCCUGCCUCAACGCAGCUGGGGAGGAUAUCCCCCCUUUCAUAAUUUACAAGGGGGGAUAUCCCGGGGGGCCCUAUAACAAGGAGGGGGUCCCCGAUGCCCUCUACGGGAAGUCACCGGCAGGGUACAUGGACAGUGAGCUGUUCAGGAAGUGGUUUGUCGGGCAUUUCCUGAAGUUCGCCGCUGAGGAGCGCCCGCUGCUGCUUGUUUUUGAUGGGCACAAAUCCCACCUGGAUCCAGAGCUGGUCCGGGUGGCACAGAGGGAGGAGGUCAUUCUCCUGUGCCUUCCACCACACACAUCUCACAUCCUGCAGCCUCUGGAUAUGAGUUUCUUUGGACCCUUGAAGGCAGAUUUCUCUGGAAUUACAGGAGAUCUGUCGGUAAUGAGCCACUCCUUGGUUUCCAAGAAGGAGUUUUCAAGGGUCCUUAGGGACUCAUAUCAGAGGGUGAAGGAUCGGGGAGUGGUGGUGGCUGGGUUCAGGAAGUGUGGCCUCUACCCUCUGGACCCGGAAGCCAUUGGUCACGGGUCAUGCCAUCCGGACCGCGGCGUGGGACCUCCUCGCCACCUCUGCCAACCCCAUCAGCAUCUUCCUGGGCCAUGCCUGAUGUUACCCCCCCAUCCCAACACCCCCCCCCACACCAGAGUCCACCCCCUGUCCCUAGUUCACCCCCUGUCCCGUGUCCACCCCCGUUCCUUGUCCACCCCCUGUCCCUUGUCCACCCAAUCCCUACUCUACCCAUCCCCUGGUAACAUCAGGCAGGAUCUCAGUAGACCUGGCCCACCUCCUGCCCGAGGUGCGUUAUAAUACCACCAAGGUCAAGAGGAAUACCACCAAGGCCAGGAUACUGACGGCUCAGGAGAUGUCUGAUGCCAUCGAGGAGGCGGAGGACCGUGCUGCAAGGCGGGAGGCCCAAGCUCUGGCCAGAGAGCAGCGGCGGGCCGAAAACAACGGCCCGACAGCCACUUCCUCUACCCUGCCUGGUGGCUCCCGUCCCAGCCACAGAACAGCAUCCCACGGGGCUGCCUCGGCCUCCUGCUCCGGCCUUUCCAUCGCCGGUCCCUCAACCCGCUCGGCCCCCUCUAGUGCCUCCCACGGUCACCAGCUGCCUGCCCCUAGCGGAACAUCCCCACCUAGCCUGCCUGCACCUGGCUGGCUACUGGAUGAGCCAUCAACAUCUGCCUUCGGCCUCCGAGGGUCCAGAUUGUCUUCCUCUCCCUCCCAAUCCUGCAGACAGACAGCUGCGCCAUUGUCCAGCUCCUCCCAGCCGUCUGCUGGACCCACGGCAUCCACUGGUAUUGUAUUUAACAUUAACAGUCUUUGUGUGCCAUCCCAUGAUAUUCAAAACAUGUUCUUAAAUAUAUUUUUUCUAUGAGUAGGUCACACCAAUAUGGAAGAUCUGUGUGGCCAGUGCAGGGAACCUGACCCUCCGGGUGUCUGCUCGGAGGGAUUGGUGCCGUGGGUCCAGUGCAACAAAUGUGCCAAAUGGUUUCACACCAUUUGUGUCGGCUGGGAGGAGCUGGACAAAGAUGAAUUUUGGUGUUUUUGGUGCCUUGAUAUGUUUGAUAAGUUUGUUAUUUAAUUUGUUUUUAAUUUGAUUAUCCGAUAUCUAUUUGUUUGUAUAUAUUGUAAAUAUUGUAUAUAUUGUAAAUAUUGCUGUUUUUCAAUUUAGUAAAAUAUUUUUCAUGUCAUGUCAUUUGUCUUUUGAUUAAAUAAUAUAAUUGUAUGCAUGAACAUUUAUUUGUUAUAUUAUGCUACAUACUAACUCUGCACUGAGUCCAUUACAGGUAAUUGUUAAAUAAUUGCUAAAUUAAAUGCAUCAGCUUGUAUUUUAAAUGAGAAGUGUUUAACAAAAUAUCCAGUAGGUGGCGGUAUAGCGGUAUAACUGCAUAAAUUAGAGUUGUUACUUGUUAAAGCAUUGUAUCUUAUUUUGAAGGAGGAAAGUACGAUCCCAGAUGAGUUGAUGUUAGUUUGUCAGUCUCAGGAACAACUUAAUACCCCCACAACACCGGCAGCGUUCAAUGUUUACAGCGGGCGGACGCUGCCGUUCGACUCGGGACACCGGCAGCUCACGGCUAAAUCACCGGUGUUAGCAUCCUUUUACCGACUCUAGUAAAGACCGAGCAAAAGUAAAUGUUUAAAACGAUACACGGUUAGAAAGGUAAGAAGUUCGUCUUUACUUUAGCACCUUAAAAUCAACCGAAACCAUUACAUGAUCAUUUAACUUAGUAGUUAAAGGGAAUUCAUAUCGAAUAUUAGCAUGAAAAUCGUUCGGGUUAGGGUUCCGGUACGUUAGAACCUGACUCAUCUAGAACAUUAUGAACCCAAAGAAACCUCUAGAACCCCUGAGACAUUGAGAAUGUGUUGGAUACCCACAAAUCAACACAAAGAGAACCGUCUAGCAUCUAGAACCCAGAAUUACAGACAGAGAGGAUUCAGGGUGAAUGCACAGGAACAUCCAGAAGAAAACCUCUGUGGUUUUUAUCAGAUACAAUGGUUCUCCUCCCACCGGUGUUUUCCUAUUGGUUAUUGUGAUGACUGAUAGUUUGUGUGU